CCCUUAGAUGUUCUGGGCCGCACGCGCGCUACACUGAUGCAUUCAACGAGUCUAAAACCUGCUCUGAUAGGGGUGGGUAAUCUUUUGAAUGUGCAUCGUGAUUGGGAUAGAUGAUUGCAAUUUUUCAUCUUCAACGAGGAAUGCCUAGUAAACGCAAGUCAUCAGCUUGCAUUGAUUACGUCCCUGCCCUUUGUACACACCGCCCGUCGCUCCUACCGAUUGAAUGAUCCGAUGAAUAUCAUGGAUUGAGGAUGCAAGCAGGUUCGCCUGUCUUCAUCUUCGAGAAGUGAAGUAAAUCUGAUCAUUUAGAGGAAGGAGAAGGCGUAACA
rnacentral:rRNA from 1 species